UACGUAGGGUGCGAGCGUUAAUCGGAUUUACUGGGCGUAAAGCGUGCGCAGGCGGCCCGUUAAGACAGGUGUGAAAUCCCUGGGCUCAACCUAGGAAUUGCGCUUGUGACUGACGGGCUCGAGUACGGUAGAGGGGGGUGGAAUUCCUGGUGUAGCAGUGAAAUGCGUAGAGAUCAGGAGGAACACCGAUGGCGAAGGCAGCCCCCUGGGCCUGUACUGACGCUCAUGCACGAAAGCGUGGGGAGCAAACAGG
rnacentral:rRNA from 1 species